rnacentral:rRNA from 1 species
UACGGGGGGGGUAAGCGUUGUUCGGAAUUACUGGGCGUAAAGAGCUCGUAGGUGGUUUGUCGCGUUGUUCGUGAAAACUCACAACUCAAUUGUGGGCGUGCGGGCGAUACGGGCAGACUGGAGUACUGCAGGGGAGACUGGAAUUCCUGGUGUAGCGGUGGAAUGCGCAGAUAUCAGGAGGAACACCGGUGGCGAAGGCGGGUCUCUGGGCAGUAACUGACGCUGAGGAGCGAAAGCGUGGGGAGCGAACAGG